UUAUAAAGAAAGCUGAGUGAAUGAAAAAGCCUGACACUGAUAAUACAAAAGAUGGAAGCUAUAUUCCUUCUGGGAUGUAGAGCUCCAAGCUUUGUAGUCUUCAACAUAUACGCCAAGAACAAAUAAUAAAAGAUGAAAGACUGGAAGGCAGAAGAAAAUUCCAUACUAAUAUCAAACAAUUUCUUAAGAUGUCUAAGAAGCUCAUGCGAAUCAUGUUGUCCUCCAUCCAUACAUUGCGUUGUUUUCUUUUUAAACGAGUUUAACAACUCUGAUGGACGAUAAGAUUGACGUUCAUCAGUAUUUUGCAUUUCUGUAAGUGUUUUGCAUAAAAUUGAGGUAAAACUGCCCCAACCUUCUAAAAUACCCUCUAUUGGUGGCUAAAAAAUAUUUUGUUAAUAAUAUUUAAAUAAUUUAUGUAAUGGCAAGUUAUUUAUGGCAUAAUAUUACUAUAAACAUAUAAUAUCAUUAAAUGUAUAAAUAUUAUAAUGCACAUCUUGUAAUAUAAAAAGGACUUAAUCCAAUUGACAAUUAUUACAAAAUUAUACAUAUAUUAUUCAAUAAUGGAUAUUCAGCACAGCCGUUAAACUUUCAGGGUACCGACUUUUCAUUUUCAGAGUUUCAUUUAAAAAAAAAAUUGGUUUAUAUUUCCCCACACAUCCAUCUAUAAAAGCUAAUCGCGUCAAAUUAUGUCCCCCUCUAAACCAUCCAACUUUCAUUUAAAACAUAUUUCAUUAAAAUCAUCACAUGCGCAAUAAUGGAAGUGAUUUCAACUGUGUGUCCUAUAUAGACAUUUUAUCGC
rnacentral:misc_RNA from 1 species